rnacentral:tRNA from 1 species
UGACUUGUGAUGUAAUGGUAGCAUAUAAGAUUUUGAUUCUUAUUGUAUAGGUUCAACUCCUGUCAGGUCAACUA